rnacentral:miRNA from 1 species
ACACACAGUAGCUAUCUUCAAA